rnacentral:rRNA from 1 species
CAGCAGCCGCGGUAAUACGGAGGGUGCAAGCGUUAUCCGGAAUUAUUGGGUUUAAAGGGUGUGUAGGCGGACUAUUAAGUCAAAGGUGAAAUAGCAUAGCUUAACUAUGUUGCUGCCUUUGAUACUGAUAGUCUUGAGUUCUGUAAAGGUAGGCGGAAUUUAUGAUGUAGCGGUGAAAUGCAUAGAUAUCAUAAAGAACUCCGAUAGCGAAGGCAGCUUACUUGACAGAAACUGACGCUGAUGCACGAAAGCAUGGGUAGCGAACAGGAUUAGAUACCCUGGUAGUCCAUGCCGUAAACGAUGAUCACUCGCUGUUGGCGAUACACAGUCAGUGGCUUAGCGAAAGCGUUAAGUGAUCCACCUGGGGAGUACGAUGGCAACAUUGAAACU